GAAUUUUGCGCAAUGGGGGAAACCCUGACGCAGCAACGCCGCGUGAGUGAUGAAGGCUUUCGGGUCGUAAAGCUCUGUCAAGUGGGAAGAACCCACGUGGUGCUAAUAUCACCAUGUGCUGACGGUACCACUGAAGGAAGCACCGGCUAACUCCGUGCCAGCAGCCGCGGUAAUACGGGGGGUGCAAGCGUUAUUCGGAAUUACUGGGCGUAAAGAGCGCGUAGGCGGUCUUUUAAGUCAGGUGUGAAAGCCCGGGGCUCAACCCCGGAAGUGCACUUGAAACUAAGGGACUUGAGUAUGGGAGAGGGAAGUGGAAUUCCUGGUGUAGCGGUGAAAUGCGUAGAUAUCAGGAGGAACACCGGUGGCGAAGGCGACUUCCUGGACCAAUACUGACGCUGAGGCGCGAAGGCGUGGGGAGCAAACAGGAUUAGAUACCCUGGUAGUCCACGCAGUAAACGGUGAACACUAGGUGUAGCGGGUAUUGACCCCUGCUGUGCCGCAGCAAACGCAUUAAGUGUUCCGCCUGGGGAGUACGACCGCAAGGUUAAAACUCAAAGGAAUUGACG
rnacentral:rRNA from 1 species